rfam:Myotis lucifugus cont2.10446, whole genome shotgun sequence.
CUCGGGGGAGGGGGGGGUCCCUUAGCCUGGAUUGCAAGAAGGUGCAGGCCAGGCCGAGGGACCCCACUGGUGCACG